GAUGAACGCUGGCGGCGUGCCUAAUACAUGCAAGUCGAGCGAACAGACGAGGAGCUUGCUCCUCUAACGUUAGCGGCGGACGGGUGAGUAACACGUGGAUAACCUACCUAUAAGACUGGGAUAACUUCGGGAAACCGGAGCUAAUACCGGAUAAUAUAUUGAACCGCAUGGUUCAAUAGUGAAAGACGGUUUUGCUGUCACUUAUAGAUGGAUCCGCGCCGCAUUAGCUAGUUGGUAAGGUAACAGCUUACCAAGGCAACGAUGCGUAGCCGACCUGAGAGGGUGAUCGGCCACACUGGAACUGAGACACGGUCCAGACUCCUACGGGAGGCAGCAGUAGGGAAUCUUACGCAAUGGGCGAAAGCCUGACGGAGCAACGCCGCGUGAGUGAUGAAGGUCUUCGGAUCGUAAAACUCUGUUAUUAGGGAAGAACAAAUGUGUAAGUAACUAUGCACGUCUUGACGGUACCUAAUCAGAAAGCCACGGCUAACUACGUG
rnacentral:rRNA from 1 species